UGUUUAUUGUAUUUUAAAAUAUAUAAUAAUCCAUCCUGGAUUAGACUACCUGCGUCUCAUUCUUCAGGACUGUUAAUUCAAAAGCAUAUAUUACACAGGGCACAGAAUAAACGAUGAGACCGUUUAUUCUGUGCACAGGGCGAGAUUACUAGCCAGUCGCCGACGAAUUUACUUGCUGCUAUAAAAGUCGUCAAAUGUAAUCGCGGCUGCUAGUAAACUCGCGGCUCGCUUUUUCCCAGCGAGUAAAGUUGAACACUGGCCUACUUUUCUCGCUACUCGCUCAGUCGCUCGCGAUUUCUCUCUCUGGCGAGUGAAAACGCUAUGUGUAAAUUAAAACAGGACUAGUACUAGUUGGAUAAAAUGGCGGAUAAAGUGCGUGCAGGAAUUAUUGUUGUAAGCCUUUUAAUUCGGAAAAAACUACAAGAAAAGUUAAACCAGAAAAAAAGAAAAGCAAGACGGGUGCGGGUCAGGAAUUGGAUUUCAAAACGCGACACAUAUGGGGCUUCUAAUAUUUUAUUGAAACAAUUAAAGGAUGAGAAUCCUGUGGCGUACAGGAAUGUUUUGAGAAUGAGAAAUGAACAGUUUAAUAAUUUAUUACAAAUGGUUGACGAAACAAUCCGCAAAAAAAAUACAAAAAUGAGGAUGGCGAUACCAAUUGCUACAAAACUAGAAAUAAUCCUGCCCUUUUUGGCAACUGGUGAUUCGUUUAAAUCACUAGAAUACUUAUUCCGAGUGCCUGAAUGUACAAUGUCACUGUUUAUACCCGAAGUACUUGCAGCAAUUUGUCAGAUUCUAAAGCCAUAUUUAAAGGAAUUAAAAUUGUGCCGAAAAUGUAUUUAUAAGUGCUUGAUGAAGAACAUCGUGACCAUAUCCGUUAUCUUCGUUAUUUUGGAUUUGGAUAUGUGUUUCAUAUGUGGUUGAGGCAGGGCUGGGAUCACUUGGGGAGGAUAACGGUGGAGAAGUUUGCAGUUGAAGGGGUUCUCCGUAAUGGCUACAACAAGCAAUGAAUGGAAAAAAGUACAAAGCAGUUUUCUUCUUCGUUGGAAUUUCCCAAGAUGUUGUGGAGUGAUUGAUGGCAAGCACGUUCUGAUUAAAAAACCUCCCAGGUCUGGGUCAGUGUAUAUUAAUUACAAAAAAACCUAUAGUAUAGUGUUAUUGUUACACC